rnacentral:lncRNA from 1 species
CAUUUCUCUCACGCAGUUUUUGAUAGUCAAAAUUAUGAAAAUUGUCGUAUUGAUGCUCUGUUCCCUUAUCCUUUGUUUUGGACAAGAAUUUUGUCCAAUGGAUAAUUGUUUAAGCAACUCAAAGAAAUGUAACGAAUGUUGUACUUCAAAAAACUAUGAUUGUGGAAUAUGCUUUGGAUUUACUGGCAGAUCUUGUCGCUGUUCGAACGGUCCGACAUAUUGUCCUUAAACUAUUCAUAUCAAAUAUUUAAUUUUUUUUUUUUUUUUUUUUUUUUUUUUGAAAUUUCAAUACAAUUCACAUAAUGUUCAGUUUUCCAUUGCCCACAUAUUUAUUGUUUAAGUCAUUUUGGUAGCUUUUCACUUAAAUAUUUAACAUUGAUUGAAUAUUAUUAUUAAUGCAGUAUGUACUUGAGGUAUCUGUCACAUGAAUUGCAGCAGUGAAUACUUUGAAAAUAUAACAUUAUAUUGGAUUCUCUAAAUAAGGGAAUUAUUUUCCUUACAUAAACUAAACAUAUACUUUUCACUACUAAAAAUCUCAUAUUAAUGCACAGUUUUAGUAUGAAAUUCUUGAAAUUGAAGUCUGUCUCACUAUUAGAUGUGUUUCAGUUCAUUAAAAUCUGUAAAUUUGACAUAUAGAAAAUCUAAAGAUGUAUAAAUUUAAGUUGUUUAAAGUAAAUAUGAAUGAAUAAAUGCAAAGUGAAAAAAACUAAGAUUUAAUUACAACAAUAAGUAUUUGAGAUCUGUUUGAGACUGAUUUUUAUUUGUGUGUUUUUGCUAUAUAUUUAUUUGUAAUUUGAGUUUAAUAUUUUAGACAUUCACUAAUAAUUUUUUAGAUAUCAUAUUCUGAAUUUUGUAAUUUGCAGUUUAGUAAGUAGCAACUUCAGAUUGAGAAUUGAUGUUAAAGUGCAUUUGUAGGCUCAUAACAUCAUGUGUAUAUUAUAGAAUUGAGUGCAGUAUUUGUGCAAAUAUUAGCAGUCUUAAAUAUACAAAUUUAAUAUGAAAACUGAAUAUUAUGAGUCUUAUUCAGUUAGCAUUCACUGAUAUUUUCUAUAAAUAAAAAAAAACAUAUCAAAUAUUCAGUAUGAGAUAUUUCUAUAAAAUGCAAAGCAUAGAUCUCAUAUUGAUCAAUGUGUAAUAUUUUGUAGAAAUUGAAUAAGUACAAUCAUGUUUAUAGGCAUGACUUAUAUUAGUUAUAUUUUGAAAAGAUUGUUUUAUGAAUUAGAUAUGUCAACAGAGGUACUCUUAGCACCUGAAAUACUUCUAUAUUUAAAGAAAUAUACUAAAUUUGCAAUCACUAAAAUAUUUUUUAUAAUUAGAUAUUCCGACAGUUUUAAUACUUUCUCUUCAACUUUGUAUUUGUUAAUAUAAUGAUGAUAAACAGCUUACUGACAAUUUUAAACUUUUUACAUUUGUUUCUUAUGAAUUUUUUUUCAAUUUCUAUUUGUAAUGCAAUAUAAGGUGCCUCUAAAUUCAAAUUAAUGUUAAAAUAUAUGGUAUACUGGUAUUAAUGUAGAUUAAUAAAGUACUUUUGAUGUGCAUCAGUGCAAUUUGUACAGAUGUAUUUCUUU